rnacentral:rRNA from 1 species
GUGUCAGCCGCCGCGGUAAUACGAAGGGGGCUAGCGUUGCUCGGAAUUACUGGGCGUAAAGGGAGCGUAGGCGGAUAGUUUAGUGAGAGGUGAAAGCCCAGGGCUCAACCUUGGAACUGCCUUUCAUACUGGCUAUCUUGAGUACGGGAGAGGUGAGUGGAACUCCGAGUGUAGAGGUGAAAUUCGUAGAUAUUCGGAAGAACACCAGUGGCGAAGGCGACUCACUGGCCCGUUACUGACGCUGAGGCUCGAAAGCGUGGGGAGCAAACAGGAUUAGAAACCCCCGUAGUCC